GUUGAUUUCUUUUCUGCUCCAACAGAAAGAGAUACAAUUCAAAUAAGAGACUUUAAUAAUUAUUAUAACAGUUCAACUAAAUGCAUUUUAAAAGGAAAUAGCAGAAGAAUUCAUUCAAAAAAACUUAGGACAUUGAGAAAAAGCCAAUGCAAUUAUAGGAUAUGCAGUUGGCAAAUUUUAGUGCAUUCCCUUAUGAGGUGACCAAUAAUGGCAAAUUAACAUAUAUUAUUGUAUUAAAGAAGGCUUUUGGUGGAUACACUAAUGUAAUAAUGUCUGCUUGCUGUCCCUAGUCCUUAACGUGUUGAUAAAUGCCUAAAUGGGACCAAGAAAUGAAGCCAUCAUUCAACAUAAACUAGAAAACAGAAGAAAGGAAUUGGUUGGAUUGCCAUUCUUAAAACUAUUAAAACAGCUUUUUCUUUCCUCCUUUAAAAAAAAGGGGCCUAUUGGAGUUAUUCAAAACAAAGGGGGAAAAUUUAUAUUCAAAAGUCUGAGGCUCCCAGAAACAGCUAGGAAAAAGAAAUAUAAUAUGAAACUUUUGGCCAUAGUUUUUGGAAGGUUACGGAGAUUAUUAUUACCUUUAUCCAAGGAAGAUGGUUGAA
rnacentral:misc_RNA from 1 species